AUUGAACGCUGGCGGCAGGCCUAACACAUGCAAGUCGAACGAGUGGCGGACGGGUGAGUAAUGUCUGGGAAACUGCCUAAUGGCGGGGUAUAACUACUGGAAACGGUAGCUAAUACCGCAUACCAUCAGAUGUGCCCAGAUGGGAUUAGCUAGUUGGUGGGGUAACGGCUCACCAAGGCGACGAUCCCUAUCUGGUCUGAGAGGAUGACAAGAAACACUGGAACUUAGACACGGUCCAGAAGCCUACGGGAGGCAGCAGUGGUGAAUAUUGAACAAUGGGCGCAAGCCUGAUGCAGCCAUGCCGCGUGUAUGAAGAAGGCCUUCGGGUUGUAAAGUACUUUCAGCGGGGAGGCGUUACCCGCAGAAGAAGCACCGGCUAACUCCGUGCCAGCAGCCGCGGUAAUAC
rnacentral:rRNA from 1 species